UUGCUUGAGAAUACGCGUAGCU
rnacentral:miRNA from 1 species